UACGAAGGGUGCUAGCGUUGUUCGGAAUCACUGGGCGUAAAGGGUGCGUAGGCGGCUUUGCAAGCCAGAGGUGAAAGCCUGGAGCUCAACUCCAGAACUGCCUUUGGAACUGCAUAGCUAGAGUGUCGGAGGGGAUAGCGGAAUUUCUAAUGUAGCGGUGAAAUGCGUAGAUAUUAGAAGGAACACCGGUGGCGAAGGCGGCUAUCUGGACAGAUACUGACACUGAGACACGAAAGCGUGGGGAGCAAACAGG
rnacentral:rRNA from 1 species